rnacentral:rRNA from 1 species
UACGUAGGCAGCAAGCGUUGUUCGGAGUUACUGGGCGUAAAGAGUAUGUAGGCGGUUGGGUAAGUUUGGUGUGAAAUCUCCCGGCUUAACUGGGAGGGUGCGCUAAAGACUGCCUGGCUCGAGUGUGGGAGAGGAAAGCGGAAUUCCUGGUGUAGCGGUGAAAUGCGUAGAUAUCAGGAGGAACACCUGCGGUGUAGACGGCUUUCUGGACCAUAACUGACGCUGAGAUACGAAAGCGUGGGUAGCGAACAGG